rnacentral:lncRNA from 10 species
AUUUCAGAUUCUCAAGAAAAAGGUAAAAUACAAAACAAAGUAACAACAAACCCAACAGGAAACUGGACUACAUGAUCUUCAAAGAUUCUGUGCCAGCAACUGCAAUGUCCUGCUACUUCUCAACUCUACAUUUCUCUUUACCUCAGAAUUUGGUUAUUCAGGUGUUCAACCCAGAUUUAUCAGUGAUUAUUCUCUGUCAAAUGCUGUGCUGGGAAUUGACCUCAAGAGUGGUCUAUAAGAAGGGACAACCAGGGCCAGGCAUGGUGGCUCAUGCCUGUAAUCCCAGCAAUUUGGGAGACUGAGGCAGGUAGAUCACUUGAGGUCAGGAGUUUGAGACUAACUUGGCCAACAUGGUGAAACCCUGUCUCUACUAAAAAUACACACACAAAAAAAGUUAGCCGAGCAUGGUGGUGCACACCUGUAAUCCCAGCUACUUGGGAGGCUGAGACAGGAGAAUUGCUUGAACCUGGGAGGCGGAUGUUGCAGUGAGCCAAAAUCGUGCCAUUGCACUCCAGCCUGGGAGACAGAGCAAGAAAAAGAAGGGACAAUCUGGAUUUCUCCUGAAUUUAAACUGAAGACAGGGUAUACAUUUUUGGGGGAUGGAGAGAAGACGGUCUGGAGAACCUUAGCAUAGUUUCUCUUUCCUACUUUUGAGGAAGCCAUAAAUGAAACUCUCCAGGAAGGAGCAUAGGGAAGCUAGUGACAGUCAUGAGCAGGCCCUUUGGGAGGGGAACAGCAUGUCAUUUUUGCUUUAGUACUCUUUUAAAAUGUCUUUCUACAUCCCUGCAACUAGCUGAGGGGGAGUAAGAGAGCAAAACUGUCAGACCAGCAGCAUCUUAAUUAUGGAGAUUAGAAAUAUUUUAUGCAAUUGACACAGCCUCUCCUAAAUUACAUAGUAUUAGGGAAAACGACUCUGUCUAGCACCAAUGAAAAAGGAAGAAAGGACAUCUCUGAGAAAGAACAGGUGGAUUUUGACAGUUUGUCCAAUAAAAUAAUAAUAGGGAAAGAAACUUCAAAAACCAAGCCAAUAGUACACUUUUCAUUGCCUUACACAAAUCUCUUAACAGGACUUGAGGGAAGCUGGGAAUGAUUGUAGCUAAACUUCAAAUUGCUAGUCCAGCAAUGUGUGCAGACCCUGUAGCCCGCUCUGCCUCCCCAUUCCUCCAUGUUGUUCUGUAGCACCACACUAGGAGACAAACUAUUGGAGCACUUGGGAAGUGAGUAAGUUGGUGGUCAAGUCAGGCUUAAUUUCCAAGGAGUCUAUGUCCUUUGCUCAGUGGGAGAAAUAUCAGUUAGUAUCCCCGAAGUGGUACCUUGGUAUUCUCAAAAAGUUCAAUUACUUCCCAAGGCCUAGUAAUUUCCUGCCAGGCACAGAGCAUCUGGUUCUAUAAGAAUUGAGGCCCACUGAAAGCAUUCCGAAGACUGAAGGCUUUGGUAAGGAAUAUGGAAGACUCCUGUCAAUCAUACUUAGGCACCAUUUUUCUGAAUUGGAGAGUUGAUGAGUAGGGGCAUAGCUCUAACACCUACUGUUUUUAUUGUUUAAGCUUUCCUCCCUUUAGUCCUCCCUGUAAGAUACCACCAUAGUGAUCAUUUUAAAGCAAAAAGCCUACCGUAUUACUACUUUACUCAAAACCCUCUGAAUUUCUCUUAUCUGUUAGGAGGUACAAAUUCCAAGGCCUAUGAAUGCCAGAGGGUAAUGUAGAUAGGAAAAACUGGCCCCUGUCAGAAGAGACUUUAGAGAGUGUUUGAAACUGUGACAAACAGAAGAGCUCAAGCCAAGAUCUCCCAACCUACAUGUUCUUCUUACAGUGUGACAUUGAUAAUUCCUCAAGGGUAGGGUUUGGAGAGCACCGAUGGUCCCUUCCCUUGAAUCUGAAUGGGCCCGUGCCUAUAGCAAAAGUGAUGCUAUGUGCUACCUGAGGCCAGGUUAUAAAAGGUAAUGCAGGCUGGCCACGGUGGCUCACACCUGUAAUCCCAGCACUUUGGGAGGCUGAGGUGGGCAAAUCGCCUGAGGUCAGGAGUUCAAGACCAGCCUGGCCAAUAUGGUGAAAACCCAUCUCUACUAAAAAAUACAAAAAAUUAGCUAGGCGUGAUGGCACAUGCGUGUAAUCCCAGCUACUUGGGAGGCUGAGGCAUAAGAAUCACAUGAACCCAGGGGGUGGAGGUUGCAGUGAUCCAACAUCACGCCACUGCACUCCAGCUUGGGCAACAAGAGCAAAACUCUGUCUCAAAAUAAUAAUAAUAAUAACAUUAAAUAAAUAAAUAAGUAAAAGGUAAUGCAGUGUUAGUCUGGUCCUCUAAAGAUGCUCACCCUGGCCGAGCGUGGUGGCUCACGCCUGUAAUCCCAGCACUUUGGGAGGCCGAGGCAAGUGGAUUAGCUGAGAUCAGGAGUUUGAGACCAGCCUGGCCAACAUGGUGAAACCCUGACUCUACUAAAAAUACAAAAAGUGUGGUGGCAGGUGCCUGUAAUUCCAGCUACUCAGGAGGCUGAGGCAGGAGAAUUGCUUGAACCCAGGAGGUGGAGGUUGCAGUGAGCCCAGAUUGUGCCUUUGCACUCCAGCUUGGGUGACAGUGAGACUGUCUCAAAAAAAUAAUAAUAAUAAAAUAAAUAAAAAUAAAAAUAAUUAAAAAAAAAAGAUGCUCACCCUUAGAACUCAGCUACCAAGCUGUGAGGAAACCCAGGUCAUGUGGCAAGGCUCCAAGUAGGUAUUCUGGCUGAUGGCAAACAGUUAGUAUCAACCUCCGGGCAUGAGUAAACUUCAAGAUAACUCCUGCCUCAUAGCUAACUGCAAUCACCUGACAACCCUCAAGCGAGAACCGCUUAGCUGAGCCUACUCUGUUCCCCCAAUGGUGAGAGUUGAUGACUGCUGUUGUUUUAAGUCAUCAAGUUUUAGUUUGGUUUGGGAUACAACAACAGAUAACUGGAACAUGCAAUAGAUCUUAUUGAUUUCUAAGCCUGCACCUUUGCUUAAGUCAUUUUAUACCUGAGAGUUCUCUUUUUCUCCCAUCAUCUUCACUUAUCCAAAGCUACGUGUUAAGGACCAGCUGAAACACAAUUUAUGAAGCCUUUCCUAAUCAUUGCAUUUGUGACCUGUUCUUUCCCUGUACUCUGGACACUGUAUAUGUUCUUCAUGAUUAACAGGUCAUUCAGGAGAACCCCCUCCCUGU